GCGGCGCCAACCGUGGUCAUGCACGUUCGUAAGUGUGAGGCGCGAUGGAAGCUCACGUCCACAGGACGGGUGUCUCAUCUUUGACAGUCAUCGGAAGCCCUGGGGUCGUGACCAUGGCUCCAGAGAAAGCUCACGAUACCAGCAGUGAGGUGAGGAGGAAACCGAGAACCUCGAUAGAGUUAAGGAAAGAAAUCGUUGUGCAAGUCGUUACAGUCCGGGAAAGUGAAUUCAUAUGUGCUCUGCGCAUGCAUGACGAGGAAUCCCAAGAACUUUGUGGGAAAACUGGACAGAAAAAACAAAAACCAAGAAGCAAGAAAACUGCACGGGAAGGAUCGUGAAAGGCGCCCGCCUUCCUGCUUGCGAGAGGCAUCGGUCACGCCGACUGCUUACUUUGGGCUGGCCGCUGUUCUGAAGACUUCCAAAGAAUUAGUCAUUUGAUCCUCCUGUCAGCCUUGUGACUUCAGUACUGCCUUGAGCUCCUUUUUACAGUGAGACGCUGGAGUAACUUGACCAAGAUCGCAAAGUUGGCAUCUGAUCUAAACCCUAACCGUAAGUCCCAGGAACCCACACGUUUAAGCACAGCGCUGUCUGGUUUACGAUUCUCAGGACAG
rnacentral:lncRNA from 1 species